rnacentral:lncRNA from 10 species
AGAAAUGCAAAUCAAAACCACAAUGAGACAUUGCCUCACACCUGUUGGAAUGGCUAUUAUGAAAAACAUAAAAGACAUGGAGGCUUCCUGCUUACCCACACCCUGGCCGAUGCAGCAUAUUAUGAAACUCCUGAGGCUUUGCUGCUCUGGCAACUGCUCUAUACCAGGCCUCUCUUAGGGAGACAUGUCUUAUCCCUCAGGUGUGCGGAAAAACACGGCUUCUGCUGGAGAUGGAAAAAGGACUCUGGGGAGGACAAGAUGCCUCAUGUCAAAGCAACAAGGUUCCAGUGAAGAGCUGCAGGCCUCAGAGGCAGUUUAUUUCAUCAAAAAGAUCGGAAGCCUAAAAACAGCAUUGUUAGGGAACUGGCAGCUCAAGACAAAGAAGCCGAACCAGAAGAGGGCACUCUUACCACAGAGAUUUACAGCUAAUGGUUUUUUUUUUUUUUUUUUUUUAAUGUUUGCCCCUCAGCAGGGCCAACAGAGAAAGCAGGACAUUCUUUCCUAAGGAGCUCAUAACUCUCCCAGCCAAGCAAGAAGGAAAAGGCAAAACACCAAGGGUGAAAACUUAGCAGAGAAUGCCAAAGGCAAUGACCGUGCUCUCUGACCAUCACACGCUGGAGGCAGAGCUUUAUAUGGUUCUCAAAGGAUUGUUUACCUCCUCCUCACUAAACCUUAAAAAAAAAUGUAUUCCAAAAACGAAUUACACCAAGCCAACCCACAUUACUCAGUCUACGAAGCCAACCCACAUUCUGGCCUGUACUGCCUUUCAACUCUUCCUAUUUCCACUUGCUGGAAUAAAUCAUUUCACUCUAGGGCCAAAACAGGUUUGAUUUCAUCUGUCAGAGGCCUGUAACAUUAAGCGGCAGUGUGGUGCUUGUUAGAGGAGGAGCACUUGUAUUCUCCCGGAUCCCCUGUGGAACCGCCUGGGCUUCUGAGCUAGGGAAGCAGAUAAACCCUGUCCCUGCCUUCACC